rnacentral:rRNA from 1 species
CCUACGGGAGGCAGCAGUAGGGAAUAUUUCACAAUGGGGGAAACCCUGAUGCAGCAACGCCGCGUGCGUGAAGAAGUAUUUCGGUAUGUAAAGCGCUAUCAUCAGGGAAGAAAAUGACGGUACCUGAUUAAGAAGCCCCGGCUAACUACGUGCCAGCAGCCGCGGUAAUACGUAGGGGGCAAGCGUUAUCCGGAUUGACUGGGUGUAAAGGGAGCGUAGACGGCAGCACAAGACUGGAGUGAAAUGCCGGGGCUUAACCCAGGAACUGUUUUGGAAACUGGUCAGCUAGAGUGCAGGAGAGGUAAGUGGAAUUCCUAGUGUAGCGGUGAAAUGCGUAGAUAUUAGGAGGAACACCAGUGGCGAAGGCGGCUUACUGGACUGUAACCGACGUUGAGGCUCGAAAGCGUGGGGAGCAAACAGGAUUAGAUACCCUUGUAGUC